rnacentral:rRNA from 1 species
UCGAGAAUAUUCGACAAUGGACGAAAGUCUGAUCGAGCGACGCCGCGUGCGGGAAGAAGGCCUUCGGGUUGUAAACCGCGGUAGUUAGGGAAAAAAUUAUUGAUUGUACCUAACGGAAAGAGGUGGGUAACUACGUGCCAGCACCAGCGGUAAUACGUAGACCUCAAGCGUUAUCCGGAUUUAUUGGGCGUAAAGCGCGUGUAGGAGGUUUUGUGCGUCCUUGGUUAAAGCCCACCGCCUAACGGUGGAAGUGCCACGGAUACGACAAAACUAGAGGGGGUUAGAGGUGCAUAGAACGCACGGUGUAGGGGUGAAAUCCGUUGAUAUCGUGCGGAAUACCAAAGGCGAAGGCAGUGCACUGGGACCUUCCUGACUCUGAGACGCGAAAGCGUGGGGAGCAAAAAGGAUUAGAUACCCGCGUAGUCC